GAGAACUAGGAGGGAGGUCUCUGUGUGUUGAUCAACACUGAUACCUUGGGCAGAUAUCAAAUGUUUCUCUUGGGUUCUUCCUGCCUGCUGGUGCUGGAGCACCCCAUCUGCCAGGGCUUUCCCUGAGGAUGAUGCUUUUGGUGAUGCUCCCAGCAGUUGAUGCCACUCUCGUGUUGCUGCAACAGGAGUUUGGGCGACCCUUGUAAGGAUGCUGGGAGCGUCUUGACUUGAAGCCAAACAUUGCUAUUGGAAAUACUGCAAUAAUCAGUGCUUCUGAAGAAGAAAUACAGCUGCCAAGCCAUAGUAAAAUCAUCCACACAAAUGCCUUCUGCUGGAAUGGGAAACUUGUGAAGGCAAACACAGCAGUCCUGCUUCCUAAUUCGUCUGGAGAAGGGCUUAGCCAUUGGCUUAGGCUGAGAAUAAGCAUGUGGGAUCUGCAUGAGGUUUGAUCUCAGAGCUCUUCUCCAGCCUAAAUGUUUGACUGUAUUUUCAGAGGUACUCUGUGAGGAUGAAGCCCUUAAGCCAACACCAAUCCCCUGUUCCCCUCACCCCAAUCAGGUGCUCCAGGUGCAACGGAUGAGUUAAGCCCAGGCCAGCUGACAGCAUCCCUACCAUCUCAGGGGCUUUUGGUGAGCUGCACGGGAGAGAACCUCAGCAACAAAUUCAUUGAGCACUUCAAUUCCCAGAGCUUUCCCAAGGGACAGCUUAUUACAGCAGCUUUGGUUAGGGAACAGGCCGUAAGCACAA